GACGAACGCUGGCGGCGUGCCUAAUACAUGCAAGUAGAACGAAGUUGCGAACGGGAGAGUAACGCGUAGGUAACUGCGUGGUAGCGGGGGAUAACUAUUGGAAACGAUAGCCAAUACCGCAUACUACCAAAUGGACCGGCGGUGUAUUAGCUAGUUGGUGAGGUAACGGGCAAACAAGGCAACGAUUCAUAGCCGGGCUGGAGGGGUGGUCGGCCAAACUUGGCCCGAGGCCAGGCCCAGACUCCGUCGGGAGGCAGGAGGAGGGAAACUUUGGCAAUGGGGGGAACCCUGACUGAGCCAAGCCGGGUUAGUUAAGAAGGUUUUUGGAUCGUAAAGCGCUGUUGUUAAGGGAGCGGUACUUAACCAGAAAGGGACGGCUAACUACGUGCCAGCAGCCGCGGUAAUAC
rnacentral:rRNA from 1 species